CCAUGCUGGGCCUGAUUACCUUCACAGUAACAGCUAGACUCUGAUUUGAUUCCUUCAGCCGAAAGUUUCCAUUUCCACUUUCAGAUCAGCUUGAUAUGUUUCUUCCCAACUCAGCUAUUUCUUUCCAACUUAGUCAACCUUCAUAAGCAUCUUUUCUGCAGAUUGGGCAGCAACACAGAAUCUUACUCUUGCCUUCCAACUUUCCAAUUCCAUGAAAACUUUCUAUCAAUGAUGAAAUGAGUAUCUGAGCCUGAUGAGAUUUCAAAGGUUCAGAUGGGCUAAACAAAUGGUCUAGGAGCACCUGAAGCUGCAGAGUUUGCUUUAGAGCACUAACCAUCAAAGUAGAGGAGUGAGCCUGAAAGAGACCAUCACUUGGCUCCUCACAAAUUAGCAGAAUACCUAUAGAACUUCAUAGCCCAUCAGAGUAGGAAUGCUGAAAGAAAAAUCAGCAGGACAUAGUUCAACAUCUGGAAGGCCUGCAUGCUGCUCCAGUUCCAUCAGAAAUCUGGACAUCUAGAAGGAAGGAGUAUCUGAAAAAGGAAAAGGUGGAAAACUAAGCCCUCAAAUGGCAGUGACUGCUGACCAUGCAAAUCAAAAUGAGAAUCAAGCCAAAGAAGAAAAUUUGGUUCUGUAAUAAGGAAAACAACCAGGAAAAUAUUUUUGGUCUUCUCUCCCCAACCUAGCAUGUUAAAAUCUUGGAGUGGAUAUAGAAAAUCAAUUCCUCUGUCCCCUCAAUCAAGUAGUAGAAGACCUUGUAACUUCAGAUAAAUUUCUGAAGGAGCACUUCUAGAAAAGGAAAGAAGGACUUCUGCAAGUGUUGGGAAAUAGUUUAUUAUACUGCAGGAGUGGGGAUGGACCCCAACUCUCAUCAGCCCUAGCCAACAUACCCAACAGCCAGGGAUUAUGGGGGUUGUAGUCCAGUAACACCUAACCCUCACCUCUGCUAUAAAAAUAUAU